UGCGGGAAAAAACUCAUGUAAAUAAUAGGUUAAUUUGUUCAAACCUAAUACCAUUUCUUUGCACAAACUUAAUGCUUGUGAUAUUCAAAUUCUCCUAAAUAUAGGUCUCCCCACAUAUUUCAUGCAGUUCAAUAGACAUUUUCAUGCUAACAUGGCCAUGGGUUGUAUUUUAGAACUUUCUUAAGGUAAAUACCUUUUCCUUAAAAAAAUUAAGAAAAGGUCUAUAACAUACAAUAUAUUAAAGUAAAGUUUAAAGUCUGACAAAUUUUACACCAAAAAAUAAUCUUAACAAUCUAUUCUAACAAAAUAAUCUACCAUUAACAAUGAUCUAUUUCAAAAUAUAAUAUUAAUGAUAAAUCUGUUCUUUAAAUAUAUUAUGCUUUAUAUGAGUUGAUGAAACAAGAGGUCCUAUGGAAGAUCUGACUUGACGAUAUUUCUUGCUCUAAUUUCUCAAAGAUUAAAGCCUAAUUAUCUCCCCCUGAAGCUGUCUAGCUAGAAUUAUUCAUCUUUGUGCAAAACUACAAAGAAUUGCGCUAUAACAGAUGGAGGGACUGUGUAUGUUGACUGAAGAAGAUGAUUAACAUAUCAAAAGAUAAUAUGGUCAACUUGAAAUGCAACUUUAAUUAUCAUCAUAUUCCAGAAAGACUUUUGCAAAAGUCUCUUUGAUUAGUACCAAAUAUCUCUUUUCACUUUUAUUCAUUGUUGCAUUACAACCUAUGAUUCAAUGCUGCAUACACAAACCAAUAUUAUCAUCAAUAUCCUUCAUAAACAAUUUAUCACAAACAAUGCUUUAUAAUGUUGAAAACUAGAACUGCUAGUGAAUACACCUAAGAAUGCACCAGCUC
rnacentral:lncRNA from 1 species